rnacentral:rRNA from 1 species
CAGUAGCCGCGGUAAUACGUAGGGUGCGAGCGUUAAUCGGAAUUACUGGGCGUAAAGCGUGCGCAGGCGGUUCGUUAAGACAGAUGUGAAAUCCCCGGGCUUAACCUGGGAACUGCAUUUGUGACUGGCGAGCUAGAGUAUGGCAGAGGGGGGUAGAAUUCCACGUGUAGCAGUGAAAUGCGUUGAGAUCGGAAAGAACACCAACGGCGAAAGCACUCUGCUGGGCCGACACUGACACUGAGAGACGAAAGCUAGGGGAGCAAAUGGGAUUAGAUACCCCUGUAGUCCCUGUCUCUUAUAC